rnacentral:rRNA from 1 species
UACGGGGGGGGCAAGCGUUGUUCGGAAUUACUGGGCGUAAAGGGCGCGUAGGCGGUUCGCUAAGUUGAAUGUGAAAACUCUGGGCUUAACCCAGAGCCUGCAUCCAAAACUGGCGAACUGGAGUACUGGAGGGGAAAGCGGAAUUCCUGGUGUAGCGGUGAAAUGCGUAGAUAUCAGGAGGAACACCGGUGGCGAAGGCGGCUUUCUGGACAGUAACUGACGCUGAGGCGCGAAAAGCCGGGGG